rnacentral:rRNA from 1 species
GACUACAGGGGUAUCUAAUCCUGUUUGCUCCCCACGCUUUCGUGCAUGAGCGUCAGUUUUGGACCAGUUGACCGCCUUCGCCACUGGUGUUCUUUGUGAUAUCUACGCAUUUCACUGCUACACCACAAAUUCCAUCAACCUCUUCCAAACUCAAGAUAAGCAGUAUCAAAAGCAAUUUCACGGUUGAGCCGUGAGAUUUCACUUCUGACUUACAAAUCCGCCUGCGCACCCUUUACACCCAGUAAAUCCGGACAACGCUUGCCACCUACGUAUUACCGCGGCUGCUGGCACGUAGUUAGCCGUGGCUUACUUUCAGGGUACCUUCUCCCUCGACAUAAUCGAGUACUAUUCCCCUGCUACAGAAGUUUACAACCCAAAGGGCCGUCAUCCUUCACGCGGCGUUGCUGCGUCAGAGUUUCCUCCAUUGCGCAAUAUUCCCCACUGCAGCCGCCCGUAGG